rnacentral:tRNA from 1 species
UCCUGGGUGGCUCAGUCGUUGAGUGCCUGACUUCUGCUCAGGUCAUGAUGACACCACUCAUGGGUUUAAGUCCCAUACCAGGCU